rnacentral:rRNA from 1 species
CCUGCCAGUAGUCAUAUGCUUGUCUCAAAGAUUAAGCCAUGCAUGUCUCAGUACAAGCCAAAUUAAGGUGAAUCCGCGAAAGGCUCAUUAAAUCAGUUAUGGUUCCUUAGAUCGUACCACUUAUCCUUGGAUAACUGUGGUAAUUCUAGAGCUAAUACAUGCAAACAGAGUUCCGACCGGAGACGGAAGGAACGCUUUUAUUAGAUCAAAACCAAUCGGUGACGGGCGCAAGUUCGUCAUCGUACAACUUGGUGAAUCUGAAUAACUUAUUGCUGAUCGCACGGUCUCGCACCGGCGACGCAUCUUUCAAAUGUCUGCCUUAUCAACUGUCGAUGGUAGGUUCUGCGCCUACCAUGGUUGUAACGGGUAACGGGGAAUCAGGGUUCGAUUCCGGAGAGGGAGCCUGAGAAACGGCUACCACAUCCAAGGAAGGCAGCAGGCGCGCAAAUUACCCACUCCCGGCACGGGGAGGUAGUGACGAAAAAUAACGAUACGGGACUCAUCCGAGGCCCCGUAAUCGGAAUGAGAACACUCUAAACCUUUUAACGAGGAUCAAUUGGAGGGCCAGUCUGGUGCCAGCAGCCGCGGUAAUUCCAGCUCCAAUAGCGUAUAUUAAAGUUGUUGCGGUUAAAAAGCUCGUAGUCGAAUCUGUGUCCCGCGCCGCCGGUUCAUCGCUCGCGGUGUCCAACUGGCGUGCCGCGGGACGUCCUGCCGGUGAGCUUAGCCCGCGAGGGCGGCUCAACUUGAAAUCCCAUCGCGGUGCUCUUCACUGAGUGUCGAGGUGGGCCGGCACGUUUACUUUGAACAAAUUAGAGUGCUUAAAGCAGGCUAAAACUUUGCCUGAAUACUUAGUGCAUGGAAUAAUAGAAUAGGACCUCGGUUCUAUUUUGUUGGUUAUCGGAACCCCGAGGUAAUGAUUAAUAGGAACGGAUGGGGGCAUUCGUAUUGCGACGUUAGAGGUGAAAUUCUUGGAUCGUCGCAAGACGGACUAAAGCGAAAGCAUUUGCCAAAAACGCUUUCAUUGAUCAAGAACGAAAGUUAGAGGUUCGAAGGCGAUCAGAUACCGCCCUAGUUCUAACCAUAAACGAUGCCAGCCAGCGAUCCGCCGACGUUCCUCCGAUGACUCGGCGGGCAGCUUCCGGGAAACCAAAGCUUUUGGGUUCCGGGGGAAGUAUGGUUGCAAAGCUGAAACUUAAAGGAAUUGACGGAAGGGCACCACCAGGAGUGGAGCCUGCGGCUUAAUUUGACUCAACACGGGAAACCUCACCAGGCCCGGACACCGGAAGGAUUGACAGAUUGCGAGCUCUUUCUUGGAUUCGGUGGGUGGUGGUGCAUGGCCGUUCUUAGUUGGUGGAGUGAUCUGUCAGGUUAAUUCCGAUAACGAACGAGACUCUAGCCUGCUAACUAGGCGUACUUUCGACAUCUCAAAGGUCGGCGUCGGUGUCGUCCCGCCGUGCAAACGGUCGGGCGUAUCGCGCGCACGAUUUUUACUGUCGGCGUACAAUCAAUUCUUCUUAGAGGGACAAGUGGCUUUUAGCCGCACGAGAAUGAGCAAUAACAGGUCUGUGAUGCCCUUAGAUGUUCUGGGCCGCACGCGCGCUACACUGAAGGAGACAGCGUGUCCUCCCUGGCCGAAAGGUCCGGGUAACCCGCUGAACCUCCUUCGUGCUAGGGAUUGGGGCUUGCAAUUGUUCCCCAUGAACGAGGAAUUCCCAGUAAGCGCGAGUCAUAAGCUCGCGUUGAUUACGUCCCUGCCCUUUGUACACACCGCCCGUCGCUACUACCGAUUGAAUGAUUUAGUGAGGUCUUCGGACCGGUACUCGGUGACGUUUCGACGUUCGUCGAUGUUGCUGGGAAGAUGACCAAACUUGAUCAUUUAGAGGAAGUAAAAGUCGUAACAAGGUUUCCGUAGGUGAACCUGCGG